UGAGCCGGCUGAGUGGUUACUCUGAUUUGCCUACGGGCGGAUCGGGGAGGAAAGUCCGGGCACCGCAGAACAGGAUGCCUCCUAACAGGAGGAGGUUCGCUACGGCGAAUCAUGGAUAGUGCAGCAGAGAGAAGACUUCCUCGACACUUUGUGUCGGGGUAAAGGUGAAACGGUGGUGUAAGAGACCACCAGGUUUCCAUGAGAAUGGAAAUGCUAGGUAAACCCCAUCCGGUGCAAGAUCGAAUAGGCUCCGAGACGUUGUUCGCGUCAUUAGGGAUUAUUUUACGAUCCCUUAUUAGGGGCGGGUAGAUUGCUAGAACCCGAUCGUGAGGUCGGGACCAGAGAAAUGACCACUGAUUCUUGAUUCGCCAACUGGCGGAUCGGGAGGGACAGAACUCGGCUUAUAGGUCGGCUCAGAUG
rnacentral:RNase_P_RNA from 1 species